rnacentral:rRNA from 1 species
CCUACGGGAGGCAGCAGUGAGGAAUAUUGGUCAAUGGACGAGAGUCUGAACCAGCCAAGUAGCGUGAAGGAUGACUGCCCUAUGGGUUGUAAACUUCUUUUAUAUGGGAAUAAAAUGUUCCACGUGUGGGAUUUUGUAUGUACCAUAUGAAUAAGGAUCGGCUAACUCCGUGCCAGCAGCCGCGGUAAUACGGAGGAUCCGAGCGUUAUCCGGAUUUAUUGGGUUUAAAGGGAGCGUAGGUGGAUUGUUAAGUCAGUUGUGAAAGUUUGCGGCUCAACCGUAAAAUUGCAGUUGAUACUGGCAGUCUUGAGUACAGUAGAGGUGGGCGGAAUUCGUGGUGUAGCGGUGAAAUGCUUAGAGAUCACGAAGAACACCGAUUGCGAAGGCAGCUCACUGGACUGCAACUGACACUGAGGCUCGAAAGUGUGGGUAGCAAACAGGAUUAGAUACCCCGGUAGUC